GCAAUGGAGCAGAAUCAACACAAUCUGAUGCUCCUUGAAAAACGAGUAUAAUAAGGAUCUCUGGGAAUACAGUUUUCAUGAGUCACUUCCCGAAGGGACACUGCUGAAGCAUUCCUGACUUAUGAUGUGUGAGGCACCCCUUCUCUGGUCUGCAGAAAAGGUCACACCUGUGGCAAGAUAUCUGCCUAAGAAGGAUGUUGAGAUUUACUUUAUCUGAUGGGCAAGGCAAGCCCCAUCUGAGAGGAAAAGAUUUAAAGCACUGCAAGAAGCAGAGGUGUUCUAGAAAAAAAUCAAAACACAGUCAUGCUGAUACUGUUAAGUAAUUUCUUAACCUGCAAAGAGACAAGAAAUCCACUGGCUGAAAAUAGUCAGAAUCUCUACAAAAAACAGCUGGAACCAUUAGAAGACCCAACCAGUCAAGAAGCUUAGGCAGCAGAACUUGUAAAAAAAUCUUUCAUUGGUUGUGAUGGAGAGUGUAAUUCCUGCACUGUUAGAUUCUGGGAAACUUCCAUUUACCUCAGCAGAGCAGUCCGGAACAUUGACGCAGCUACAUGGUACCUGGCAGAGUUCAUCUAGCAGGAAAUAAAAUUAAAUGGCUGCAUGUAGCAUGGUUAAGAGAAGUUAACUCUUGAUCCAUCACCUGAACAUUAUGGACAAUGAAUUGUAAUUGACCUACAGUACCUGGUGCAGGUCAAGGAUAAAGAAGACAAGCAAGAGAUAUUUGAAAAAUAAAUGUUUGGAACUUGAGAGCUUAGUAACUGACAUGUCUGCUUUGCAAGAAAAAAGUGAACUCGAACAGGAUGGACUUCUCUCAACUAGCAGGAUGGACUUCUCUAAACUAAGCAUCAGAUGCAACAAUGUUGGUUCUCCAGCCCAAGACUAUACAAAGGGAGCAGAGAUUAUGGGGAAAACACAGGACAAGAAAAUAGUAAGUCCAGUCAUGUCUGCUGACAUAUUUCUCUGUCCUAGUGAAACCAUCCUAGAGGAUUUCUCUAUGGCUCACAAGCCAGCAGUCCCAUCUGGCGUUCUGACAUUGAUGGGGCAAUCCAGUGAAUGAAAAUUAAUUAGUACUGAGCUUGUUAUAGAAAAAGCACAUUGUUCCUGAAGACAAUAUGGCAUGAUAUGAGGGUUGUGGGGGUUGGAAAUGCCUUUGCAGAAAUAUUUUGACAGGUAUUUUACCUAUGGAUUGUCACAGGGUAGAGUUGAAGUGUAAUCACUUGGACACAAAUGACUGUUGCUGAAUUAUGGUGCCAUAUUGUCCUCUCUCUAGAAUAUUACCAUAUAUUCUGUACUUAAUUUUCAGCAAUAAUUGUAUCAUACCAAAUAAAUUGUAUUCUUGGUGUCUUCUUACUGGUAUGUUCAUAGAAACCAAUCUUCAUUCAGCACAUUCAAAGACAUUGCUUACUUCAGAGGAUGGACAGCAGUCAAGGCAAAAAAUUUAAUUGGAAAGAAAAAUAAACCAGUAAUGAAUAUACUAUUAGAACUGCUGAAUGUGUCUGAGGAUUUUUGUAGAAGCAAUUGUGCUCAGACACUCUUCAGAGUUCAAUGUCUGCCAGCAAAGUGCCUUUCAGAGAAAAAAUGAAUGAAACCCCCUAGAAAAUAACACUUGAUUUUUGAGAAAGCACAGUGGAAAAAAAUACAUGGAAUCAUUAAGCAAUGCCUACCACUAUUAUCAAGAGGAACAACUGACAAGGUUUUUUUCCCUGAUGACACCAGCCUCACCACAUGUGAGGUCAGGGUCAGGGCAUACUGCUCCAUUCCCAAAAAGAUUAAGUUACUCCCUCAAUUAUUUAAAACCACAUGAUGAAAUUCACAACAAAAAUGUUAAAAGAUGCAUUAAUUUG